CCCUGAUCAGCCACCACUAAAAUUAACAGCUCAAACAUAUCCAAUGAUACAAGUACCAAAUCCUGCUAGAGGAGGAGAUGGCCAACCUAAUGACCUGUUGGUGUACAGACCCUGGACAGCCACUGAAUGCCAGGGAGCUGUAGACAUGUUGCCCUCAUACAAAGAAGAUGUGGACAAAUGGUGCGCAGAUUUCAGACAGCUGGUGAAUUCGUAUCACUUAAAUGGAUACGAAACAGGCCAAGCGCUCCAAGCAGCGCUGAAACUAGAUUGGGGAAGAGUCAGAGGAAAUUUCACAGGACAUAAUGGAGCAAAUCCACCUGUGGUGCUGGAACAAGGUUCUGAAGUACUAACACAACAAAUAGACGGAGUGUUAUAGAGAAUGACACAGGUCUUUGCAAGACGAGCAGAUUACAGAAAAUCAGGUGCAGUAAAACAAAAAGAUGACGCGACUGUGGAUGAUUUUAAAGUCAGAUUUGAGAAAGAGUUCAGAGUCCUAAGCGGACUGCAAUAUGCAGAAGAUGAUAACGGUCCAUAUCAACAACAGCUAAAGAACACACUGUUGACUAACAUGCUACCUGGAGUAGCUCACUGGGUUUGUAAACAUUAUGUAGAUUUGAGUACAGCUUCAGCAACCCAAAUGAUGAACUGGGCACGACAUGCCAAGAAAGUAAUAAAAACAAAGAAAAAUGAAGGAAAAAAUAAAACGGCUGUGUUUUGGGUAGAAGAAGAAACAGGAACUUUCUACCAGGGAUCCUAUCAACCCAGAGGACGUGGGCACGGCCGAGGUCACUACUCCGGAUGGGGAGGGAGGGGUCCCAGUAGAUCUAGACAGUCAGAACCAGGAAAAGAUUAUCUUUGUUGGCGAUGCGGGAAACAGGGACAUUAUUCUCGAGACUGCUGAAUGAGAGAGCAGGAAGGUCCUGGGGGAACUGAGACUCCCC